GAUGUUGGGUUAAGUCCCGCAACGAGCGCAACCCUUGUCAUUAGUUGCUACGAAAGGGCACUCUAAUGAGACUGCCGGUGACAAACCGGAGGAAGGUGGGGAUGACGUCAGGUCAUCAUGGCCCUUAUGGGUAGGGCUACACACGUCAUACAAUGGCCGGUACAGAGGGUUGCCAACCCGCGAGGGGGAGCUAAUCCCAUAAAACCAGUCGUAGUCCGGAUCGCAGUCUGCAACUCGACUGCGUGAAGUCGGAAUCGCUAGUAAUCGUGGAUCAGCAUGCCACGGUGAAUACGUUCCCGGGCCUUGUACACACCGCCCGUCACGUCACGAAAGUCGGUAACACCCGAAGCCAGUGGCCCAACCCCUUGUGGGGGGGAGCUGUCGAAGGUGGGAUCGGCGAUUGGGACGAAGUCGGAACAAGGUAGCCGUACUGGAAGGUGCGGCUGGAU
rnacentral:rRNA from 1 species